rnacentral:lncRNA from 1 species
UUUCAUGUUAAAAUAAUAAUAAUAAUAAUAAUAAUAAUAAUAAUAAUAAUAAUAAUAAUAAUAAUAAUAAUAAUAAUAAUAAAGAAACAACCACCCAAAUUCUAGGGGUUUUCCUCAAGCAGAACUUGCUUUCAUUUCCUUUCCAGCCUCAUGGUCCUGGAGCUGGGGUAACACAGGCCUGGUCACGAAGAGAAGUUAUUCCCUCUGGAAAGGGGGGCACAGGGGAACCACAGCCAGUUCUCAUGUCUCCUAUCUGUCUCUCUGGAAUCUGAGGUUCCUGGCAGUGGCAGCAGCUGGUUUAAUCAAUAAGCUAAAUAAACACCCUUCAUCUGGAAAGAGUUAGCAGCUCCAUGAAGCAGAGAAUUAUUUCUUUUUUUGACAAAAGGCUGAUGGUGAAUUUGGCAGAGCAGAGGGUGGCACCUGAGAGCAGCUUUUUGUUCAACAAAUCCCCCCCAAACCAUCCCAGGCUGGCACAGCGCCGUCACUCCAGUAUGGAGAGGUACAAAAUUGGAACCUGUUUUUGCCAGACAAAAGGUGGCAGCCCUGAGAGGUAUCAAAGAGAGACCCAGUCCUGGUUCAUCCUCAGACCUGCCUGUGAACCCUGGUAACAGAAGGAUUUGGCUGCUCUCAAAUCUCAAAGUAAAGCUGGUGCAUCUCAGCCAGCUUCAAUGGGGUUUUGCUUCUGUCUGCAGGGUUGGUGACAUCAAAGUAAACAAACUCCUUCCUGUGUCUUAAAAUCCUGCUGAUGUGUCCCAUGACUGCUACUCCCAGUGACACACAUGAGGCUGAUAUUUUUAGUACAAUAUAUCAUUUAGAACUUCUUUUCAUCCAAUUAAGAAAUGAAAUCUAGCUAACCCAAUUUAUGCCCCGAAGGAGUAAACAAAUCUCAGUUUCUUGUACAAGUAUCAGGAUUGUACAAGUACUAUUUCCCAAAACUGAAACAAAACCUGAAGGAAUUGUCAUACAGCCUUUGCUGAGAAUUGUAGACCCCACCUAAUGAAAAGCAAAAUCCAAUAGCCGUUCCUGAGCUGGUUUUGGUUAGGGUUUUUUGGUACAAUUUCAGUCCCAAAAAAUGCACCACGUGAGAAUGGAUGUAAAAAUGAGUUAGUAAAACUGUCAUCAUCAGCUUCUGCUGGGAGUAGAGGGUUCUGGAAGCAUUACCAGGUGUAAUGCAAAGUUGUUGGGGAAUAAUAAUUCAAACAAACCAGAAACUAAAAAAAAAAAUCAUAACAGAUACUUGGAUUGCAUAUCUGGGGACAUUUUCAUUAAACUUGCUACAUAUUUAUAUUAGCUGAUUUAUUUUUUUUAUCCAUGUGGAGCAAAUAAAUUCAUAGGAAAAGAAGUAGUAUUUUGCA